UUGAUAGAGGCGCGGUGUUUAUGAGUAUCCCGUGGAGAGGCAUCUGGGAAGCGGGCCAAAGGAAACAUCGCCGAAGGGACCGGACCGGCGGGUUCAGUCAGCUGGGCCUGCAAUGAAGAAUUGCAGGACUGUCGUCGUCAGGACAUGACGGCGGAGAGCUAUCU
rnacentral:ncRNA from 1 species